CCUACGGGAGGCAGCAGUGGGGAAUAUUGGACAAUGGGCGAAAGCCUGAUCCAGCAAUGCCGCGUGAGUGAUGAAGGCCUUAGGGUUGUAAAGCUCUUUUACCAGGGAUGAUAAUGACAGUACCUGGAGAAUAAGCUCCGGCUAACUCCGUGCCAGCAGCCGCGGUAAUACGGAGGGAGCUAGCGUUGUUCGGAAUUACUGGGCGUAAAGAGUACGUAGGCGGUGAUUCAAGUCAGAGGUGAAAGCCUGGAGCUCAACUCCAGAACUGCCUUUGAAACUAGAUCGCUAGAAUCAUGGAGAGGUUAGUGGAAUUCCGAGUGUAGAGGUGAAAUUCGUAGAUAUUCGGAAGAACACCAGUGGCGAAGGCGACUAACUGGACAUGUAUUGACGCUGAGGUACGAAAGCGUGGGGAGCAAACAGGAUUAGAUACCCUGGUAGUCCACGCCGUAAACGAUGAUAACUAGCUGUUCGGGGUCUACGAUCCUGAGUGGCGCAGCUACGACAUUAAGUUAAUUACCGUCCGUCGGGGAGGUACGGUCGGCGAAGAAUUAAAACUAACAAAGGAAAGUUAGUACGGACGUGAGACGUAGCCGAACGGACGACCGACGAGGGAGGUUAGG
rnacentral:rRNA from 1 species